AGGAUGCGAGCGUUAUCCGGAUUUAUUGGGUUUAAAGGGUGCGUAGGCGGCAUUAUAAGUUAGUGGUAAAAUAUUGGGGCUUCACCUCACUACGCCAUUAAUACUGUAGAGCUAGAGAACAGACGAGGUAGGCGGAAUAAGUUAAGUAGCGGUGAAAUGCAUAGAUAUAACUUAGAACACCGAUAGCGAAGGCAGCUUACCAGACUGAGUCUGACGCUGAUGCACGAGAGCAUGGGUAGCGAACAGGAUUAGAUACCCUGGUAGUCCAUGCCGUAAACGAUGCUCACUGGCCUUAGGCGAUAUAUGGUCUGAGGUUAAGCGAAAGUAUUAAGUGAGCCACCUGGGGAGUACGUCGGCAACGAUG
rnacentral:rRNA from 1 species